rnacentral:rRNA from 1 species
GACGAACCGUACGAACGUUAUUCGGAAUUACUGGGCUUAAAGGGUGCGUAGGCGGCGCAGUAAGUUGGGUGUGAAAUCCCUCGGCUUAACCGAGGAAUUGCGCCCAAAACUACUGUGCUCGAGGGAGGUAGAGGUGAGCGGAACUUAGGGUGGAGCGGUGAAAUGCGUUGAUAUCCUAAGGAACACCGGUGGCGAAAGCGGCUCACUGGACCUCUUCUGACGCUGAGGAGCGAAAGCGUGGGUAGCGAACAGG